rnacentral:rRNA from 1 species
GAGUUUGAUCCUGGCUCAGGAUGAACGCUAGCGAUAGGCUUAACACAUGCAAGUCGAGGGGCAGCAUGAACUUAGCUUGCUAAGUUUGAUGGCGACCGGCGCACGGGUGCGUAACGCGUAUGCAACUUGCCUUACAGAGGGGGAUAACCCGUUGAAAGACGGACUAAUACCGCAUAUACUUAUUCGGUUGCAUGACCGGGCAAGGAAAUAUUUAUAGCUGUAAGAUAGGCAUGCGUCCCAUUAGCUGGUUGGUGAGGUAACGGCUCACCAAGGCAACGAUGGGUAGGGGAACUGAGAGGUUUAUCCCCCACACUGGUACUGAGACACGGACCAGACUCCUACGGGAGGCAGCAGUGAGGAAUAUUGGUCAAUGGGCGAGAGCCUGAACCAGCCAAGUCGCGUGAAGGAAGACUGUCCUAAGGAUUGUAAACUUCUUUUAUACGGGAAUAACGGGCGAUACGCGUAUUGCUAUGAAU